AGCGCCUGCCUGCCUCCAGAAGCAGGGGGUCCCGUGCCAGGAGACUCAGUCAGGAGGAAUGGCCCCCGCCCGCCCGCCUGUGCCCACUGAGGGCGACUCACGCGCCUGGCAUUCGAGUAGUGCCAAGUGACGGACCUGUUGCUGCGCCAGGGAUCACCUUUCUUCCCCAUCCUAGGCUGAGUCCUCCGUCCCUGAGCACACGCCCACCACAGGAACGGGGUCAUUCAGAUUUGGGGAUGGCACCAGAAGAUCUCAGAAGUGACCAUCUCCCAAAUGAACAAGGGGAUCACAACUCUGGACACAGAACACAGGGAGGGCAGCCUUUGAUUCCCCCCUUUAAAACCCCCUGUUCCCCUGAUGGCCGGAAUCACCGCCUCUGGGAGAGGAGUCCUCUGUGUUUUCCUCCUUAGCUAGUAAAGCAAUAAAACUUCUUUCUCCUUUUUUUCUCAAAA